UACGAAGGGGGCUAGCGUUGUUCGGAAUUACUGGGCGUAAAGCGCGCGCAGGCGGCUAUCCAAGUCAGUGGUGAAAGCCCGGAGCUCAACUCCGGAACUGCCAUUGAAACUGUUUAGCUUGAGGACGAGAGAGGUGAGUGGAAUUCCCAGUGUAGAGGUGAAAUUCGUAGAUAUUGGGAAGAACACCGGUGGCGAAGGCGGCUCACUGGCUCGUAUCUGACGCUCAGGCGCGAUAGCGUGGGGAUCAAACAGGAUUAGAUACCCUGGUAGUCCACGCCGUAAACGAUGAAUGCCAGCCGUUGGAUAGCUUGCUAUUCAGUGGCGCAGCUAACGCAUUAAGCAUUCCGCCUGGGGAGUACGGCCGCAAGGUUG
rnacentral:rRNA from 1 species